GAUGAACGCUGGCGGCGUGCCUAAUACAUGCAAGUCGAGCGAACAGACGAGGAGCUUACUCCUCUGACGUUAGCGGCGGACGGGUGAGUAACACGUGGAUAACCUACCUAUAAGACUGGGAUAACUUCGGGAAACCGGAGCUAAUACCGGAUAACAUGUUGAACCGCAUGGUUCAACAGUGAAAGACGGUCUUGCUGUCACUUAUAGAUGGAUCCGCGUCGCAUUAGCUAGUUGGUAAGGUAACGGCUUACCAAGGCAACGAUGCGUAGCCGACCUGAGAGGGUGAUCGGCCACACUGGAACUGAGAUACGGUCCAGACUCCUACGGGAGGCAGCAGUAGGGAAUCUUCCGCAAUGGGCGAAAGCCUGACGGAGCAACGCCGCGUGAGUGAAGAAGGUCUUCGGAUCGUAAAACUCUGUUAUUAGGGAAGAACAAAUGUGUAAGUAACUAUGCACGUCUUGACGGUACCUAAUCAGAAAGCCACGGCUAACUACGUG
rnacentral:rRNA from 1 species